UAUGGAAAAGCCGGUGCAAGCGAGGUAGGAGAUGAACAGGCAAAUCCGUUCAUCAAUCCGAAGACGUGAUGCGGACCGAAUUAAGAGUAGGGAAGUGUGUGAGCCAUGCGUCAAGAAAAGCCGCUAUUGUUUUACUUAAGCCCGUACCGCAAACCGACACAGGUGGAUGAGGAGAGAAUCCUAAGGCCGACGGGAGAAGCAUUGUUAAGGAACUCGGCAAAAUGACUCCGUAACUUCGGGAGAAGGAGUGCCAGCGAGAGCUGGCCGCAGAGAAUUGGCCCAAGCAACUGUUUAGCAAAAACACAGGUCUAUGCAAAACCGUAAGGUGAAGUAUAUGGGCUGACGCCUGCCCGGUGCUGGAAGGUUAAGAGGAGAGGUUAGCGGCAACGCGAAGCUUUGAAUUUAAGCCCCAGUAAACGGCGGCCGUAACAAUAACGGUCCUAAGGUAGCGAAAUUCCUUGUCGGGUAAGUUCCGACCCGCACGAAAGGCGUAAUGAUUUGGGCACUGUCUCAACAAUGCACCCGGUGAAAUUGAAAUACCAGUGAAGAUGCUGGUUACCUGCGCCAGGACGGAAAGACCCCAUGGAGCUUUACUCCAGCUUGAUACUGGGAUUCGGUAUUGCAUGUACAGGAUAGGUGGGAGGCUAGGAAGUGAUAACGCAGUUGUCACGGAGCCGCUGUUGGGAUACCACCCUUGCAGUAUUGGAUUUCUAACCAGCGACCAUGAACUGGUCGGGGGACAAUGUCAGGUGGGGAGUUUGACUGGGGCGGUCGCCUCCGAAAGGGUAUCGGAGGCGCUCAAAGGUUCCCUCAGAAUGGACGGAAACCAUUCGAAGAGUGCAAAGGCAGAAGGGAGCUUGACUGCGACACCGACGGGUGGAGCAGGUACGAAAGUAGGACUUAGUGAUCCGGUGGUAUAAAGUGGGAUUGCCAUCGCUCAACGGAUAAAAGCUACCCUGGGAUAACAGGCUUAUCACUCCCAAGAGUUCACAUCGACGGAGUGGUUUGGCACCUCGAUGUCGGCUCAUCGCAUCCUGGGGCUGAAGUAGGUCCCAAGGGUUGGGCUGUUCGCCCAUUAAAGCGGUACGCGAGCUGGGUUCAGAACGUCGUGAGACAGUUCGGUCCCUAUCCGGCGUGGGCGUAGGAUAUUUGAGAGGAGCUGUCCUUAGUACGAGAGGACCGGGAUGGACUGGCCGCUGGUGUAUCUGUUGCAUACCAAAUGCAUGGCAGAGUAGCCAAGCCGGGACGGGAUAAACGCUGAAGGCAUCUAAGCGUGAAGCCCCCCUCAAGAUGAGAUAUCCCUACGUAAGUAGUAAGACCCCUUGAAGACGACGAGGUAGAUAGGUCAGAGGUGGAAGUACAGUAAUGUAUGGAGCUGACUGAUACUAAUCGGUCGAGGGCAUGACC
rnacentral:rRNA from 1 species